rnacentral:rRNA from 1 species
UACAGAGGGGGCGAGCGUUGUUCGGAAUUACUGGGCGUAAAGGGCGCGUAGGCGGCCUUCUAAGUCGAACGUGAAAUCCCCGGGCUCAACCCGGGAACUGCGUCCGAUACUGGGAGGCUUGAAUCCGGGAGAGGGAUGUGGAAUUCCUGGUGUAGCGGUGAAAUGCGCAGAUAUCAGGAGGAACACCGGUGGCGAAGGCGGGUCUCUGGGCCGAUACUGAC